rnacentral:tRNA from 1 species
GGGGCCAUAGCUCAGCUGGGAGAGCACCUGCUUGGCACGCAGGGGGUCAGCGGUUCGAUCCCGCUUGGCUCCACCA